GAUGAAGAACGUAGCGAAAUGCGAUACGUAAUGUGAAUUGCAGAAUUCAGUGAAUCAUCGAAUCUUUGAACGCAUAUUGCGCUCUCUGGUAUUCCGGAGAGCAUGCUUGUUUGAGUAUCAGUAAACACCUCAACUUCCAUAUCUUUUUUGAAAUGGGAGUUGGACUUGAGUGAUCCCAACGCUUUUCCUCACCGAAAAGUGGCUGGUUACUUGAAAUGCAGGUGCAGCUAGACUUUUCUCUGAGCUAUAAGCAUAUCUAUUUAGUCUGCCUAAAAACAGAUUAUUACCUUUGCUGCAGCUAACAUAAAGGAGAUUAGUUCUUGUGCUGACUGAUGCAGGAUUCACAAAGACAGGCUUCGGCCGACUUUGUAAACUCGAUCUCAAAUCAAGUAAGACUACCCGCUGAACUUAAGCAUAUCAAUAAGCGGAGGA
rnacentral:misc_RNA from 1 species